AUGGGCGAAAGCCUGACCGAGCAACGCCGCGUGAGCGAUGAAGGCCUUCGGGUCGUAAAGCUCUGUUGUUAGAGAAGAACAAGUACGAGAGUAACUGCUCGUACCUUGACGGUACCUAACCAGAAAGCCACGGCUAACUACGUGCCAGCAGCCGCGGUAAUACGUAGGUGGCAAGCGUUAUCCGGAAUUAUUGGGCGUAAAGCGCGCGCAGGCGGUCUCUUAAGUCUGAUGUGAAAGCCCACGGCUCAACCGUGGAGGGUCAUUGGAAACUGGGAGACUUGAGUGCAGGAGAGAAAAGUGGAAUUCCACGUGUAGCGGUGAAAUGCGUAGAGAUGUGGAGGAACACCAGUGGCGAAGGCGGCUUUUUGGCCUGUAACUGACGCUGAGGCGCGAAAGCGUGGGGAGCAAACAGGAUUAGAUACCCUGGUAGUCCACGCCGUAAACGAUGAGUGCUAGGUGUUGGGGGGUUCCACCCUCAGUGCUGAAGUUAACACAUUAAGCACUCCGCCUGGGGAGUACGACCGCAAGGUUGAAACUCAAAGGAAUUGACGGGGGCCCGCACAAGCAGUGGAGCAUGUGGUUUAAUUCGAAGCAACGCGAAGAACCUUACCAGGUCUUGACAUCCUCUGACCACUCUAGAGAUAGAGCUUUCCCCUUCGGGGGACAGAGUGACAGGUGGUGCAUGGUUGUCGUCAGCUCGUGUCGUGAGAUGUUGGGUUAAGUCCCGCAACGAGCGCAACCCUUGACCUUAGUUGCCAGCAUUCAGUUGGGCACUCUAAGGUGACUGCCGGUGACAAACCGGAGGAAGGUGGGGAUGACGUCAAAUCAUCAUGCCCCUUAUGACCUGGGCUACACACGUGCUACAAUGGAUGGUACAAAGGGUUGCGAAGCCGCGAGGCCAAGCCAAUCCCAAAAAGCCAUUCUCAGUUCGGAUUGUAGGCUGCAACUCGCCUACAUGAAGCCGGAAUUGCUAGUAAUCGCGGAUCAGCAUGCCGCGGUGAAUACGUUCCCGGGCCUUGUACACACCGCCCGUCACACCACGAGAGUUUGUAACACCCGAAGUCGGUGGGGUAACCCUUUUGGGAGCCAGCCGCC
rnacentral:rRNA from 1 species